AUACGUAGGGGACGAGCGUUGUCCGGAAUUACUGGGCGUAAAGGGCGCGCAGGCGGAUAUUUAAGUCAGCUGUAAAAGGCAUGAGCUCAACUCAUGUAUGCGGUUGAAACUGGGUAUCUAGAGUGCUGGAGAGGUGGGCGGAAUUCCCGGGGUAGCGGUGAAAUGCGUAGAUAUCGGGAAGAACACCAGUGGCGAAGGCGGCUUACUGGCCAGCAACUGACGCUGAGGCGCGAAAGCCAGGGGAGCGAACGGGAUUAGAUACCCCGGUAGUCCUGGCCGUAAACGAUGAAUGCUAGGUGUGGGUGUCGAGAGGCAUCCGUGCCGGAGUUAACGCGAUAAGCAUUCCGCCUGGGGAGUACGAUCGCAAGAUUGAAACUCAAAUGAAUUGACGGGG
rnacentral:rRNA from 1 species